rnacentral:rRNA from 1 species
GACGAACGCUGGCGGCGCGCUUAACACAUGCAAGUCGAACGGAAAGGCCUGCUUUCCCUUGUGGACUGCGGGUACUCGAGUGGCGAACGGGUGAGUAACACGUGAGUGAUCUGCCCCCAACUUGGGUAUAAGCCUGGGAAACUGGGUCUAAUUCCCGAUAGGACUGCAGGGUGGUGCCUGUGGUGGAAAACGAUUUUCUAGUGGUUGGGGAUGAGCUCGCGGCCUAUCAGCUUGUUGGUGGGGUAAUGGCCUACCAAGGCGGCGACGGGUAGCCGGCCUGGGAGGGUGGACGGCCACAUUGGGACUGAGAUACGGCCCAGACUCCUACGGGAGGCAGCAGUGGGGAAUAUUGCACAAUGGGCGGAAGCCUGAUGCAGCGACGCCGCGGGGGGGAUGACGGCCUUCGGGUUGUAAACUCCUUUCGACCGCGAGGAAGCCACCUGGUUGGAAGGGUGGUGACGGUAGUGGUAGAAGAAGCACCGGCUAACUACGUG